GACGAACGCUGGCGGCGUGCUUAACACAUGCAAGUCGAACGGAAAGGCCCUGUUUUUGUGGCGUGCUCGAGUGGCGAACGGGUGAGUAACACGUGAGUAACCUGCCCUUGACUUUGGGAUAACUUCAGGAAACAGGGGUGAUUACCGGAUAUGAGCUCCUGCUGCAUGGUGGGGGAGGGUGAGUGUCGGCGUUUGGGGAUGGACUGGCGGCUUAUCAGCUUGUUGGUGAGGUAGUGGAUUACCACGGCUUUGACGGGUAGCCGGCCUGCGAGGGUGACCGGCCACAUUGGGACUGAGAUACGGGCCAGACUCCAACGGGAGGCAGCAGUGGGGAAUAGUGCGCAAUGGGCGGAAGCCUGAUGCAGCAACGCCGCGUCCGGGAUGACGGCCUUCGGGUUGUAAACCGCUUUCGCCUGUGACGAAGCGUGAGUGACGGUAAUGGGUAAAGAAGCAACGGCUAACUACGUG
rnacentral:rRNA from 1 species